rnacentral:rRNA from 1 species
UACGGAAGGGGCAAGCGUUGUUCGGAAUCAUUGGGCGUAAAGGGCGCGUAGGUGGUUCUGUAUGUCUACCGUGAAAGCAUACAGCUCAACUGUAUUUUGUCGGUAGAAACUGCAGGACUUGAGGCUGGGAGGGGCUGGUGGAAUUCCCUGUGUAGCGGUGAAAUGCGUAGAGAUGGGGGAGAACACUCGUGGCGAAGGCGGCCAGCUAGACCAGUUCUGACACUGAGGCGCGACAGCGUGGGGAGCGAACGGG